UACGUAGGGUGCGAGCGUUAAUCGGAAUUACUGGGCGUAAAGCGUGCGCAGGCGGUUUUGUAAGCCAGAUGUGAAAUCCCCGGGCUCAACCUGGGAAUGGCAUUUGGGACUGCAAGGCUGGAGUGCGGCAGAGGAGACUGGAAUUCCUGGUGUAGCAGUGAAAUGCGUAGAUAUCAGGAGGAAUACCGAUGGCGAAGGCAGGUCUCGUGGGCUGACAC
rnacentral:rRNA from 1 species